UACGUAGGGGCCGAGCGUUGUCCGGAGUUAUUGGGCGUAAAGCGCGCGCAGGCGGCCUCGCGCGCCCGACGUGAAAGCCCCCGGCUUAACCGGGGAGGGUCGUUGGGGACGGCGGGGCUUGAGGGCGGGAGAGGUCGGUGGAAUUCCCGGUGUAGCGGUGAAAUGCGUAGAGAUCGGGAGGAACACCUGUGGCGAAGGCGGCCGACUGGGCCGACCCUGACGCUGAGGCGCGAAGGCGUGGGGAGCGAACGGG
rnacentral:rRNA from 1 species